AGCCCGGUGGUGUAGUGGUCAAUCAUGUAAGGCUCUGGACCUUACGACCGCGGUUCGAAUCCGUGCCGGGCUA
rfam:Candidatus Syntrophoarchaeum butanivorans isolate BOX1 BOX1_11reassembly_contig02, whole genome shotgun sequence.